AGUGAACGCUGGCGGUAGGCCUAACACAUGCAAGUCGAACGGCAGCACAGUAAGAGCUUGCUCUUACGGGUGGCGAGUGGCGGACGGGUGAGGAAUACAUCGGAAUCUACUUUUUCGUGGGGGAUAACGUAGGGAAACUUACGCUAAUACCGCAUACGACCUACGGGUGAAAGCAGGGGAUCUUCGGACCUUGCGCGAUUGAAUGAGCCGAUGUCGGAUUAGCUAGUUGGCGGGGUAAAGGCCCACCAAGGCGACGAUCCGUAGCUGGUCUGAGAGGAUGGUCGGCCACCCUGGACCUGAGACACGGUCCAGACUCCUACGGGAGGCAGCAGUGGGGAAUAUUGGACAAUGGGCGCAAGCCUGAUCCAGCCAUACCGCGUGGGUGAAGAAGGCCUUCGGGUUGUAAAGCCCUUUUGUUGGGAAAGAAAAGCAGCAGGUUAAUACCCCGCUGUUCUGACGGUACCAAAAGAAUAAGCACCGGCUAACUUCGG
rnacentral:rRNA from 1 species